GGGUCGUUAGCUCAGUUGGUAGAGCAGUUGACUUUUAAUCAAUUGGUCGCAGGUUCGAUCCCUGCACGGCCCA
rnacentral:tRNA from 3 species